ensembl:misc_RNA Metazoa_SRP Metazoan signal recognition particle RNA
GCCAGGCAUGGUGGUGCAUGCCUGUAGUCCCAGCUACUCAGGAGGCUGAGGCAGGAGAAUCGCUUGAACCCGGGAGGUGGAGGUUGCAGUGAGCCGAGAUCACACCUCUGCACUCCAGCCUGGGUGACAGAGCGAGACUCUGUCUCAA